GAUGAACGCUGGCGGCGUGCCUAAUACAUGCAAGUCGAGCGAACGGACGAGAAGCUUGCUUCUCUGAUGUUAGCGGCGGACGGGUGAGUAACACGUGGAUAACCUACCUAUAAGACUGGGAUAACUUCGGGAAACCGGAGCUAAUACCGGAUAAUAUUUUGAACCGCAUGGUUCAAAAGUGAAAGACGGUCUUGCUGUCACUUAUAGAUGGAUCCGCGCUGCAUUAGCUAGUUGGUGAGGUAACGGCUUACCAAGGCAACGAUGCAUAGCCGACCUGAGAGGGUGAUCGGCCACACUGGAACUGAGACACGGUCCAGACUCCUACGGGAGGCAGCAGUAGGGAAUCUUCCGCAAUGGGCGAAAGCCUGACGGAGCAACGCCGCGGGAGUGAUGAAGGUCUUCGGAUCGUAAAACUCUGUUAUUAGGGAAGAACAUAUGUGUAAGUAACUGUGCACAUCUUGACGGUACCUAAUCAGAAAGCCACGGCUAACUACGUG
rnacentral:rRNA from 1 species